UGAUCAUGGCUCAGAAUCAACGCUGGCGGCGUGCCUAACACAUGCAAGUCGAACGAGAAAGCGGGGGCAACUCCGCGAGUAAAGUGGCAGACGGGUGAGUAACACGUGAACAAUCUACCCUUGAGUGGGGAAUAACAUCGCGAAAGUGGUGCUAAUACCGCAUAAAAUCGCCGGGUCGCAUGGCCUGGUGAUCAAAGGCGAAAGCCGCUCGAGGAGGAGUUCGCGCCUGAUUAGCUAGUUGGUGAGGUAACGGCCCACCAAGGCGACGAUCAGUAGCCGGCCUGAGAGGGUGAACGGCCACACUGGAACUGAGACACGGUCCAGACUCCUACGGGAGGCAGCAGUGGGGAAUUUUGCGCAAUGGGCGAAAGCCUGGCGCAGCAACGCCGCGUGGAGGAUGAAGGCCUUCGGGUCGUAAACUCCUGUCAGGGGGGGACGAAAGCCCUCACGGGUUUGACUGUACCCCUUGAGGAAGCCACGGCUAACUCCGUGCCAGCAGCCGCGGUAAUACGGAGGUGGCAAGCGUUGUUCGGANAUUACUGGGCGUAAGGGCGCGUAGGCGGCUUGGCACAGUCAGAUGUGAAGCCCCGGGCUCAACU
rnacentral:rRNA from 1 species